GCGGGAGUAGUUCAGUGGUAGAACAUCUGCUUCCCAAGCAGAGAGUCGCGAGUUCGAGUCUCGUCUCCCGCU
rnacentral:tRNA from 1 species